UACGAAGGGGGCUAGCGUUGCUCGGAAUCACUGGGCGUAAAGGGUGCGUAGGCGGUCGGGUAAGUCUGAUGUGAAAUCUCACAGCUUAACUGUGAAACUGCAUUGGAUACUAUCCGGCUAGAGGAAUGGAGGGGAGACUGGAAUACUUGGUGUAGCAGUGAAAUGCGUAGAUAUCAAGUGGAACACCAGUGGCGAAGGCGAGUCUCUGGACAUUUCCUGACGCUGAGGCACGAAAGCCAGGGGAGCAAACGGG
rnacentral:rRNA from 1 species